rnacentral:rRNA from 1 species
GGAUAGCCGCCCGAAAGGACGGGUAAUACCGGAUACCCCGGGGUGCCGCAUGGCACCCCGGCUAAAGCCCCGACGGGAGGGGAUGGCUCCGCGGCCCAUCAGGUAGACGGCGGGGUGACGGCCCACCGUGCCGACAACGGGUAGCCGGGUUGAGAGACCGACCGGCCAGAUUGGGACUGAGACACGGCCCAGACUCCUACGGGAGGCAGCAGUGGGGAAUCUUGCGCAAUGGGGGGAACCCUGACGCAGCGACGCCGCGUGCGGGACGGAGGCCUUCGGGUCGUAAACCGCUUUCAGCAGGGAAGAGUCAAGACUGUACCUGCAGAAGAAGCCCCGGCUAACUACGUGCCAGCAGCCGCGGUAAUACGUAGGGGGCGAGCGUUAUCCGGAUUCAUUGGGCGUAAAGCGCGCGUAGGCGGCCCGGCAGGCCGGGGGUCGAAGCGGGGGGCUCAACCCCCCGAAGCCCCCGGAACCUCCGCGGCUUGGGUCCGGUAGGGGAGGGUGGAACACCCGGUGUAGCGGUGGAAUGCGCAGAUAUCGGGUGGAACACCGGUGGCGAAGGCGGCCCUCUGGGCCGAGACCGACGCUGAGGCGCGAAAGCUGGGGGAGCGAACAGGAUUAGAUACCCUGGUAGUCCCAGCCGUAAACGAUGGACGCUAGGUGUGGGGGGACGAUCCCCCCGUGCCGCAG